rnacentral:rRNA from 1 species
GUGUCAGCCGCCGCGGUAAUACGGGGGGGGCAAGCGUUGUUCGGAAUUACUGGGCGUAAAGGGCUCGUAGGCGGCCAACUAAGUCGGACGUGAAAUCCCCAGGCUCAACCUGGGAACUGCGUCCGAUACUGGAUGGCUUGAAUCCGGGAGAGGGAUGCAGAAUUCCAGGUGUAGCGGUGAAAUGCGUAGAUAUCUGGAGGAAUACCGGUGGCGAAGGCGGCAUCCUGGACCGGCAUUGACGCUGAGGAGCGAAAGCCAGGGGAGCAAACGGGAUUAGAAACCAUUGGAGUAC